rnacentral:lncRNA from 1 species
CUCUCUCCCUCUCAACACAUCUCCCUUCAUCACUCCCUGCAGUGUCCUCCAAAACAUCAUCAUUUCCUCUGCUCUCCAUCUCUCUCCUGCUCUGUCAUGAAACACACACUCACUCGCUCAAACUAACUCAUUCUCCUCCUCAUCAACCUUUCCUCGUCAACUCCAAUGGCGGAACCAGCUCUCCCGGAGCCCAAAACGAUGCCCGAAUCCGACAAGAAGAAGACAGAACAGAGCUUACCGUUCUACCAGCUCUUCGCCUUCGCUGACAAGUACGAUUACCUCUUAAUGACCACCGGAAGCCUCGGCGCCAUUGUUCACGGCUCCUCCAUGCCGGUAUUUUUCCUCCUCUUCGGUGAAAUGGUAAACGGCUUCGGUAAAAACCAGUUCGAUCUCCACAAAAUGACCGACGAAGUCUCCAAGGCACGUUGCUCAUCACAGUUUUUUUUUUACUUUUUUACUGCGGUAACUUUUGACCACAGAUCUGAUGAAUAUUGAAAAUUUCGAUUGUGUUGCAGUACGCUCUGUAUUUUGUUUACCUGGGCUUGGUGGUUUGCUUUUCAUCGUAUGCAGGUGAGGCUGAUCUACCUCAUUACUCUAACUACUAUUUUGCUUUAUGAAACUAAAUAUAGUUGUGUGUAUGUAUAUAUGUGUGUGUAUAUAUAGAAACUAAGAGAUGCUUUAUAUGUUACAAAUCAUGCUUGCUCAUACUUAGUUCUGGGCUAGUAGAUUGGUUGGUGUUGAGGUUGCACGUGCUUCUUGGACCCGGCCUUGUGUCUUUUUCCUCUAGUCAAUAUAUUAUUAUCUAUUUUGUUGUAUAGUAUUUAUUGCAUUAUUGUUUUCACUAAGCUACAACUNGGGGGGGGGGGGGGGGGGGGGGGGGGGAUUUGCUCCAAGUUCUUCUUGAAUAUGCAGUAAUUAUCCUUUUCUUCCCAAAUUCCUCGAAACUCUUCCAACCUCACUACACUGCUCUGGCGGAAGUAUGUUGUUUAAUCAUCUUUAAUCACUUUAGUCACAGUGACGACUAUAAAGGGACGGACAUCUUUUUCAAAGUUAUUCACAUUGUUUCCAACAAAUUUGCUAUUUAUUUUGGACUUUCACAACAUAUUUUUAUACAAAUCGUGUCUUUACUAAAUGUCCUAUGUUCUUUCAUUAAGACUCACUAUUCAUUAGAUAUGUUAUCCCCGAAGAUAUUGAAUAACAUAAAUAUCUUUGUCAUAUCUUAAGAUUAUAUUAACUUGUAAGUAAAUGUUAUACAGUUAAAUACUAACUAAAAUGAUUUAUAUGUCCUCGUCGAGUAAGCAUGAUCAACAUAAUUAACUAGAUCAUAUCCAAACUUAUUAAUGCAACAUAUAGCAUGAUGGCAUGGGAUGCCUAUUAAGUACCAACAAUCACAAGUCCACUUGAUGAGAUACAUGACAACUAUGUUUCUAGAAAUAGUGAUCAUCUAAAAAGGAUUGUACCAUAUAGAUAUAUAAUAACAUCUACCACUCCACAUCUUAAAUUUUUCAAUAAUAUUCUUACACUUGGAUGUUACAUCCAAAUCCUCCAAAACACACCUUUUUUCCUUUUGGUCUGGAGCCUUUUCAUAAGAUUCCCGCUAAUCAUUCUCAAAUUAUUGAAAAUUUGUGUUUUUUGGCGCAAAUUAUGAAUUUAUUGAACAAUUCACACACAUUAUUCAUAAGAAUGUCAUAAUUGUUAGUUGUAUUGAAGUUUGAUCUAUACUAAUGAUGUGUUGGUACAACAGUAAGCUAAUCAUAAGCUUUGACACUCUUUGUCUUAAUGAACUCCAUAUAAUUGGUGAAAGAUUGGACAUUAGGUAUAGAGUAACAUAUGUUAUAGAGUAAAUGUAGUCAUUCAUAUCAACUCCAGUUGUAGUGAGAGUUUGCCCAUUGUAGAAAUUCUUUAUAUGGGUUCCAUCCAAUCCAAUAACUCCGUGACAACCUAGUUUGAAUCCAUGCCUUAGCCUCCUAUACAUAUGUACAUCUUUUAAAAGUACCAGGAUGUCCUGCAUAUAUGAUGUGAUAUGUAUUCAUACAUUAUAUAGUGAUAUAGGUAUAAUAUGUUAAUACAAGCUAUCAAGUACCAUUAUGAACAUAUCAGUUGAUGCAUGUGUACCUUGUUCGAAUUCUAAAUCAUUGAAUUUGGUUUUCUGGCCAAAAGCUCAGCUUUAUUGUCCUACAAUUUCGAAUAUUGGUCAGUAUCUACACUAUUUAUCAUCUUCAUACACUUUCGUUCUUCCCAACUUAACACAUGGUACUUGAAAUAAAGUUGUAAAUAUGAUUUUACCAUCUUUUGAAAUGCUAGCAUAGGCCAGGUUGGAUUAAUCUUAAACUCAUGUAUGUAUUUUUUGACAAAAAAAAAAAUAAAAUGUAUUUCUCUUUUAUUGCUCUCAAAAUAGACUAGGGGUGAACAGAUCCGUUAUGGGUUUCACUAUCACAAAUCAAGAAUAAAAUCUCUCGUGAUAUAAAUUUUUUCUUUACUUUUUACUCUCACAUAUUAUAAAUGCUAUCACUCUUGAUACAAUAUUUAAAAAAGGGAUAAACUUUUUAAAAUACCAUAAUUAUUUAUAAUUGGUGAUUGAAACUAAUCAAUCCUCUUCUAACCCAAAUAAUACCUAUAUCGGGACCUAAGAUAUGGUAAUCAGAGACCAGUUUAGUGUAAUUUUAAUUAUGUCCAUUUUAGUGUAAUUUUAAACAGGUUACUUGAUCGAUUCAUUUAAAUUGUGCUCGUUUAGCUAAACAAGCAAACUCGUUCGACCAGGCUUGUGAAUUACACAAAUUAAAGGGAUGUAUCUCCUUCAGAUUUUAAUGGAUUAAUAAUAUUAAAUGAAUUUCAUUGGAUUCCAAUUGAUUUUAGGAUUGUGACUGAAUGAUAAGUAGUAGAACAAAUACUAAUUUGUAAGGUAUAUAAGCCUGCAUUGUCAAAAAAAAUAAUAAACAUUCUUUCAAAUCUCGUGGAUUACUGAGAGAUUUCAAAAAAAUAUAAAAUACAUUAAAACAAUACCACAAAAUCUAUCAUUUUAUAAAUUUUAAGAAAAUCCAUCAAAUUUUAAUGGAUUUUGGAUAGUCAUAAUUGAAUACCACCAAAAUUUUGAGCUGAAAUUAAAAUCGUGAUUUAAUACCAUCAUAGUUUUUGGGAUAAUCUCAAAUCUUGAUUAAAUACUUCAAGUUUUUAAUAUAUUUUUAAAAAUACUUAUCGAAUACAUGAAUGAAGCCGUUUGAUAUACAUUUCCUACAACGAUACGUUUUACUCGUAAAAGAAAAGCUCAAAUAUACUUUAUAUGAGUUGUAAUCCAUGAAGAACAUCUCAAAAUAAAUAACAACAAAAAACUCUAUUAUAAUACUUUGUUUUUCAUAGAAAAUGAUACCAAUUUAACUUUAUAUAUAUAUGAAAUAUAACAUUUGAGUUCAUCCAAAUUAUUAAUAUUGGUUAUUAUAGAAUAUAUAACAGAAUCUUAUUUAGAAUUUUAUUUAUUUGUUUGUUUGUUGCAAAAUAAAUUUUACAUAGAAUCAAGUUAUUUUUAAUACAUACUUGUUAUUUAACAUGUUAGAUAUUAUUAAUUAUUAUUAAUGAAGUGUUAUUGGUUCAAAAUUAGAAUUUAAUUCAAAUUUUAGAUGAGAUUCUAUAUUCAAUUUAUAGUAUUUUUUUUUUGUUCUUUUUGAGAAUGUAAAAAGAAAAAUUAAGGUUUAAAGAUAUCAUAAAAAAUAAAGAAUUUUUUUACGCGUGUGUGUCUCGGUGUGUGUUUUGUGUUGUGUAUGUGUGUUAAUUAAUUUAGAAGAUUCUGAUUUGUAAAAAAGAAAAAUAAGACUAAAAGAUACCAUAAAAAACUAAUUAUUUGGAAGAAUGCUACACUACAUAUUCUUAUAAAAAUGAAGUUUUGAAGAAGAGUACUAUUUGAAAAAGUGUGUCUAAUUUGUAAGAAGGGUAACUAGACAAUUUUUCACUCUUUAAUCAAUAAAGUAAUUAAAUUAUGAAUCAGUUAUAAAAAAAAAAAAUAGAGUACGAUUAACCUCUGGAUUUGAAAUCACGGCUUAUAUACAUGGUAUCGGUCAUGUUUCACAAGAACAUUCUGCAGUCUUAAGAAGAGGGGAAGGGUUAAGGAUUUAACCGGCGUGAGAUAUUACAUUAUUCGAGGAACCCUAGAUGUGAAUCGGAGAUAUGUAAUUAAAAUUUUUUAACUAAGAAUAUGAUUUAAGCCAAAUAUCUAGGGGUUGUUUGGGUUAAUUUAAAAUAAGUGUUUUUUGCUUAAAAUAAAGAAGUUGAAUAAAAGUUAGAAAUAAGUUAAGAUUUAUAAGUGAUUAAAAUGUUUGGAAAACAAGUAGAAGUCAUGAAACAAAAGUCAGGAUUCUCAGCAUUUCAACAAAAAAAUUACAAAUAUUUCUUAAAUUUUCACACAAUAAUACAAAUAAAUACUUCUAACUAAAUUCGGAAGCCGAUUUAAAAGCAGCACCAUCUAAUUUACCAGAAAACACAUUCGUAGGAGUUAUGAAAACCCGUGUAUGUAUCUGUGUGACAAGUCCACAUAGUAGUCGUACAUAUCGUAUAUAUUUAUACACUGAGACCAUUGACAGUUUGACCAGCUACUUACUCCUAUCAGCGUCACUUUCUCUCACAUGCCUUUCCUAUGCAAAUUAUAAUCAUGAAAAUGUUUAUAUAAUAAAAUUGGAUAUAAAUAUUUUUAAAAGAUUAUUUAAUGAAUGUAUUCAACUGAUAUUUUUGAAAAGGAUUAACAAACUGAAAUUUUAAGAAAUUAUACAUGAUAUAUGAAUUUAAUAUAUUGUAUCUAAUUUUGAUUUUAUUCAGAUAACAUGAGAAAAUGUGUCCGAGUUCACACGAGGCUUUCAAAAUUUAAGUAUAAUAUUGCAAAAUCGCAUGAAUUCUGGUAGAAUUUCAAAAAACUAAUAUGCACGGAACAAUCCGACAAAUCAUUUCAGAAUGUCAAAAAAAUCUAUCAACAUGUGAAUACUAUCAGAUCUUAACGAAUUUUAAAUAAUUUCAAUUAGAUAUUAUUAUAUUAAUAAACAUAAACUAAAAUCCUGAUUGAAUAUCACCAGAUUUUGUAAUAUAAUUUAAAAUUCAAAUCCCAAAAUUUUGAUAUAGUAUCAGUUAAAAAGAGCAGUGCUACAUGCACAAAAUUGGGUACAUAAUUUUACACAAAAUGACAUGGCAAUCUAGGUGGGGAGUUUUAAUUGGUGUUAUUAAUGCAUGUGCAGGGGGCCCAUUCCAAUCACAAGUGAGCACAUACUCAUUCUGUGAAUAUUUCUGUACCUAAUUCUGUGCAUGUAGUAUUUUCCCUAAAUUAAUAUCUCAUUUACAACCUCACUCUCCCUCUUGGACUCAUAAAUUCCAUUAUAUAUACACAUACACACACACUUCCUUCACACACACUCUCUCUCAAACUCUCUCCUCUCUCCCUCUCAACACAUCUCCCUUCAUCACUCCCUGCAGUGUCCUCCAAAACAUCAUCAUUUCCUCUGCUCUCCAUCUCUCUCCUGCUCUGUCAUGAAACACACACUCACUCGCUCAAACUAACUCAUUCUCCUCCUCAUCAACCUUUCCUCGUCAACUCCAAUGGCGGAACCAGCUCUCCCGGAGCCCAAAACGAUGCCCGAAUCCGACAAGAAGAAGACAGAACAGAGCUUACCGUUCUACCAGCUCUUCGCCUUCGCUGACAAGUACGAUUACCUCUUAAUGACCACCGGAAGCCUCGGCGCCAUUGUUCACGGCUCCUCCAUGCCGGUAUUUUUCCUCCUCUUCGGUGAAAUGGUAAACGGCUUCGGUAAAAACCAGUUCGAUCUCCACAAAAUGACCGACG